CAACUUUUAACAACGGAUCUCUUGGUUCUCGCAUCGAUGAAGAACGUAGCAAAGUGCGAUAACUAGUGUGAAUUGCAUAUUCAGUGAAUCAUCGAGUCUUUGAACGCAUCUUGCGGUCGUUGGUAUUCCAACGACCACGCCUGUUUCAGUAUCAAA
rnacentral:rRNA from 1 species